GACGAACGCUGGCGGCGUGCUUAACACAUGCAAGUCGAACGGAAAGGCCCCUUCGGGGGUGCUCGAGUGGCGAACGGGUGAGUAACACGUGGGUGAUCUGCCCUGCACUUUGGGAUAAGCCUGGGAAACUGGGUCUAAUACCGGAUAGGACUACGGCCUGCAUGGGUUGGGGUGGAAAGCUUUUGCGGUGUGGGAUGGGCCCGCGGCCUAUCAGCUUGUUGGUGGGGUGGUGGCCUACCAAGGCGUCGAAGGGUAGCCGGCCUGAGAGGGUGUCCGGCCACACUGGGACUGAGAUACGGCCCAGACUCCUACGGGAGGCAGCAGUGGGGAAUAUUGCACAAUGGGCGCAAGCCUGAUGCAGCGACGCCGCGUGGGGGAAGACGGCCUUCGGGUUGUAAACCUCUUUCAGCACAGACGAAGCGCAAGUGACGGUAUGUGCAGAAGAAGCACCGGCCAACUACGUGCCAGCAGCCGCCGUAAGAC
rnacentral:rRNA from 1 species